rnacentral:lncRNA from 12 species
AAAACAUAACUUAUCUAUAUAACUUACUAGCAAUAGUUGAAACACCAGUUAAAUACUCUAUGUGAAAGUGUGAGAAACACAAAUGGAAAAAACAGAGGAACUAGAACCACAAAAACUUCAAAGUCCAGUUCUGCAAUCUACUGAUGACUCUUGAUGUGUUUUUCUGUUCCUUAGUUUUUUCAUCCACAAAUUAUACAAUUAUAUUCAAAGGCAAUUAUAAAUAUUGAAAGUUAUGUGUUUAUAAUACUUAGAAAAACUUCUAGGCAUAUAGCAAAUUUAGGAAUAGGUAAUUGUUAUUAGAGUAUCUCACUUCGAUGUGUAGGGCAGUAGUUUUUUCUCAUUUUAGUUUUCUUUGUAGGACUCCUUUCCUUGGAGUUUUAGUGCUCGAUAUAUCUUCAAUAAAUGGAUGAAUACCAUGUGUCAGGUUUGUAUCUGACAAUUUACCAGAAACUGCUGAAGAGGAACUUAAUGAAGUUGUGGCUGAAGUUACAUCUAAAAGAAUCCAGUGCACUUCUCAGAGGAAAAGAAGAAGAGUUCUCCCCAGCUGGUAAACAGCUUUGACCAUAUUUGAUGCUCAGAAUUCUCAAAGCCUAAACUUCAAUUUUUUCUAACACAGAUUUGCCAGAAAAGCAUCUCUCUCAGACCUGAACUACUUUAAGGAGACUUAAAACAUUAGAUAUGGGUCAGGGAAAAGAUAGCUAUAUGUUUUGGCCAGAGAAUUAGAAAUGAAUGUUAUUGAGGAAAAAACAUCAAUCAACUUGCACAUUCAUAUUGCAAGUUCUAUACUCUUUAUAUUCCGUUGUUAUUCUGAUUCAUUACUAUGUCUAUGGUUCAAUGGAUUGCUUUAAGCAAUUUUAAUCAUGCAUUCCUUUAUUCAUUCAAUUUAUUGGUGCUUCUCAACAUACAAAUAUGUGCUAGGUUCUAGGAUAUAUAUUAUAUACAUGUGUACAAAUGAGCACAGUUAUGAGUUGGAGAAAAGAAAUACAGUAUAUUGACAGCUACCCAAAGGGCUAGGAAAUUACCAAGACUAUUAGAGA